rnacentral:rRNA from 1 species
GCGGCGAAAUCCAUGAUCCUAUGCUGCCGAGAAAAGCCUCUAGCGAGCUGGUACAUGGCCCGUACCCCAAACCGACACAGGUGGUCAGGUAGAGAAUACUAAGGCGAUCGAGAGAACUGUGGUUAAGGAACUCGGCAAAAUGCCCCCGUAACUUCGGGAGAAGGGGGACCAGUCCUGGUGACGACAUUUACUGUCUGAGCUGGGGUUGGUCGCAGAGACCAGAGAGAAGCGACUGUUUACUAAAAACACAGGUCCGUGCGAAGUCGUAAGACGAUGUAUACGGACUGACGCCUGCCCGGUGCUGGAAGGUUAAGAGGACCGGUCAGCCACUUCGGUGGCGAAGCUGAGAAUUUAAGCCCCAGUAAACGGCGGUGGUAACUAUAACCAUCCUAAGGUAGCGAAAUUCCUUGUCGGGUAAGUUCCGACCUGCACGAAUGGCGUAACGACUUCUCUGCUGUCUCAACCACAGGCUCGGCGAAAUUGCAGUACGAGUAAAGAUGCUCGUUACGCGCGGCAGGACGAAAAGACCCCGGGACCUUCACUAUAGCUUGGUAUUGGUGUUCGGUUCGGUUUGUGUAGGAUAGGUGGGAGACUGUGAAACUCGCACGCCAGUGUGGGUGGAGUCAUUGUUGAAAUACCACUCUGACCGUAUUGGACAUCUAACCUCGGACCAUGAUCUGGUUCAGGGACAGUGCCUGGUGGGUAGUUUAACUGGGGCGGUUGCCUCCUAAAAAGUAACGGAGGCGCCCAAAGGUUCCCUCAGCCUGGUUGGCAAUCAGGUGUUGAGUGUAAGUGCACAAGGGAGCUUGACUGUGAGACGUACAUGUCGAGCAGGGACGAAAGUCGGGACUAGUGAUCCGGCACCGGCAAGUGGAAGCGGUGUCGCUCAACGGAUAAAAGGUACCCCGGGGAUAACAGGCUGAUCUUCCCCAAGAGUCCAUAUCGACGGGAUGGUUUGGCACCUCGAUGUCGGCUCGUCGCAUCCUGGGGCUGGAGUAGGUCCCAAGGGUUGGGCUGUUCGCCCAUUAAAGCGGCACGCGAGCUGGGUUUAGAACGUCGUGAGACAGUUCGGUCUCUAUCCGCCGCGCGCGUAAGAAACUUGAGGAAACCUGUCCCUAGUACGAGAGGACCGGGACGGACGAACCUCUGGUGUGCCAGUUGUUCCACCAGGAGCACCGCUGGUUAGCUACGUUCGGAAGGGAUAACCGCUGAAAGCAUCUAAGCGGGAAGCCUGUUCCAAGAUGAGGUCUCUCACCACCUAGCGUGGUUAAGGCCCCCCACAGACCAUGGGGUUGAUAGGCCAGAACUGUAAGCACAGCAAUGUGUUCAGGUGACUGGUACUAAUCGGCCGAGGACUUACAACG